UUAAUUAUCACGUUGGUGCAAAAUUUAAUUUUCUGCAAGCAGCUGCUGUAAUGAAAGAUUUGGAGCAGGUAAUCGAUCCGGUGGUGGUGGACCACCAAAUUGCCUCAUCCGUCGAUUCUGCGGUGAGCUGGUGCUGAACGGUACUCUUGUGAGGGGUCUGUCGGAUGCCGACCAAUCGAAUGAGCAUCGAUGGCCAUAUUUGCAGAUUUCCCCCGGAAGCCCAACCACAGCAGCAGCGGAAGCUGUUGGAACAUGAUGGUUCCCAGUCAGCAUUCGGCGACGGCUGGAAUGGUAUCUCUCGAGCGGGAUUCUCAGGGUUUACUGCUUAAGAUCACCAAGAAGGGCAAGGCUGUUCAGAUUGGUUGAUUUCCCGCACGGAGCCAGGCAGCAUGCAAAGAUUCCGCAAGAGGCUAUCCGUCGACCGCGACUCUCAUGGCUUUUACUGCACUCCUCUUGAGGUUGGUUCAAGCAAAGCAACAGCACAUACAUCGGAAUCGGGACACAGGGUUGCCGAAGAGGAUCAUCCAGUACCAUGUAUGCUAUCUCGACCAAAUGCAAAGAGGUUUCGAUCUGUGAAACGCAAAGAAGGAAGGAGAAUUUUAUACGCUCAUGGGUCACUCAACAGGUCUGUAAAAAUGAUCGCCCAGGGUCUGAGUGACUUACAGAUCAUCGAAGAGGCUAUGCAAUAUUCUGCACUAAGAACAACGCCAGCAAGCAUUCGUCGGAACCAUGUAGAAUUUCUUCGUAUAUAAGGUAAGAUUUGCAAAGUUUUUAUUAAAAAUCCGGACCGGAAGCCAAAACCGACGAUUUUAACUGUCGUUAAAAAAGUCGAUAAGUCGAACGAAACCACUGCAUCAUCAGGGCUUUGGAAGG